rnacentral:rRNA from 1 species
CCUACGGGUGGCAGCAGUGAGGAAUAUUGGUCAAUGGGCGCGAGCCUGAACCAGCCAAGUAGCGUGAAGGAUGACUGCCCUACGGGUUGUAAACUUCUUUUAUAAAGGAAUAAAGUGAGGCACGUGUGCCUUUUUGUAUGUACUUUAUGAAUAAGGAUCGGCUAACUCCGUGCCAGCAGCCGCGGUAAUACGGAGGAUCCGAGCGUUAUCCGGAUUUAUUGGGUUUAAAGGGAGCGUAGAUGGUUUGUUAAGUCAGUUGUGAAAGUUUGCGGCUCAACCGGAAAAGUGCAAUUGAUACUGGCAGACUUGAGUACAGAUGAGGUAGGCGGAACUCGAGGUGUAGCGGUGAAAUGCUUAGAUAUAACGAAGAACCCCGAUGGCGAAGGCAGCUCACUAAACUGUAACUGACAUUGAUGCUCGAAAGCGUGGGUAGCAAACAGGAUUAGAUACCCGUGUAGUC